rnacentral:rRNA from 1 species
GACGAACGCUGGCGGCGUGCCUAACACAUGCAAGUCGUGCGGUCUCGCCUUAAGCGAAAGGCCUUCGGGCUUUGAAGCAAAGGCGAGAUAGCGGCGGACGGGUGAGUAACGCGUGGCUUAUCUGUCCCAGGGAGGGGGAGUAACGUCUGGAAACGGGCGCUAAUACCCCAUAUGCCGAAAGGUAAAAAGGAGAGAUCCGCCCUGGGGUGAGGCCGCGUCCUAUCAGCUCGUUGGUGAGGUAACGGCCCACCAAGGCUAUGACGGGUAGCCGGCCUGAGAGGGCGGCUGGCCACACUGGGAUUGAGAUACGACCCAGACUCCUACGGGAGGCAGCAGUGGGGAAUAUUGGGCAAUGGGGGAAACCCUGACCCAGCGACGCCGCGUGGAGGAAGGAGCCCUUCGGGUGUAACUCCUGUUGUAAGGGAAGAAGACAGUGACGGUACCUUACGAGGAAGCCCCGGCAAACUACGUG